rnacentral:rRNA from 1 species
UACGGGGGGAGCUAGCGUUUUUCGGAAUUACUGGGCGUAAAGGGCGCGUAGGCGGUUAAUAAAGUUGAAAGUGAAAGCCCAGGGCUCAACCCUGGAAUUGCCUUUAAUACUGGCGGCCUUGAGUAUGGCAGAGGUGUGUGGAACUCCGAGUGUAGAGGUGAAAUUCGUAGAUAUUCGGAAGAACACCAGUGGCGAAGGCGACACACUGGGCCAUUACUGACGCUGAGGCGCGAAAGCGUGGGGAGCAAACAGG